GCGUCAGACAAACAACCCACCACCCCAGGGUCUCAGGCCCCGAUGAGCCUCACGGUCCGCCCAGGGACAAUCGCGCCCAGCUCUGCCGCUGAACCCAUGCAAGGCCUGGCUGGGCUGACGUAGGCUCCAGGCGAGAAAUUAUUUCACAACUGUCAAGAGGAAAGCGCGCGCCCACUCCGUCAUUUCUAGGAAGGCUGGGGCCUGCCAGGCUGCGGGGGCGGACGGGAAGGACCGCACACUCCCCAAGACAACUGCAAACCCAGGGACAACCUGCGCACGCGCAACGCUCUCUUGCGCCUGAGGUUGAGCGGCUCCCUCCGCCAGCUGCCGGAUCUAACUUGUGGGCCUUCUCGGCGCGCCGACUUCCGCGCCUGAGCGGCCGUGACGUAGCCGGUCUCCUCCUCUCGUCCUCCCGCGGCGCGGGUCUCUUGUGACGUCAGCAGCAGACUCCUCUCAGUCGAUAUAGUGCUAAGUGAGGGGCGGGCCGGAUGGGCUGGUUGCCUGCUCCUCCCCCAACCUGAACUUGUUUUGUAAAGGAAAUCUCUUGUAAUUUCCUAAGACUUUAGAUUAAGUCUUUAAACUGUUCCCGUUUCCUAAUAAGGGAGAAAACGGCCCUCACCCUAGUUCCAGCUCCUUCCAAGCUGAGAGUUCUGUUAGAAUGGUCUGCAAACAAAACCCACAAUAUCUCUGAGGCAGAGCUGGAGGAAUCUGGACUGCUUUGCUAGGGUACAGCUGGAGGAGCCUGGACUGACUUGCCAAGAUGGGGCCUGUUGUGCUGCUGUGGUAUCCUCUGAUCACCUAGAAGAACCUUGAAGGUAGAGAAUCAUUCUUCCUCCUCAACAGUUGGCAUAGCCAGCAGGAUAAACUUUAGCUGGCUGGACACUGCUGCGGCUGAGAGAUUAUGGGACAUCUGACAAAAGCUGGCACGAGGGAAGAAUCCCCAUCACCACAUCAGCCAACUGGAUCUCUGCCUGCCAGGUCUCGUGCAAGUGAGAGUGAUGAUACAAUUGGAAACAUGGGCUAUAUCAUCAAGGCUUUGACGGGGAUGUCAUAUUUGAGGGAAACAUGCAUAGACUCAGAUAUGACCAAAUAGCUUUAAGGAACUAAAGUUGACUUAAUGGAGCUAAUAAAGCCCAUUGCAAAUAUCAGCCUGACACCUUGCUUACAGAGUAACCAGCAGCCUUACAAGAAUCAUUGAGAAUUAAAACAGACUUCUCUCCCUGAAGCCCUGCAAACUAAAUAUGAAUGACUUGAUAUAAACUUCAGGAAAAUCAGCACAAUAGAUAACAUAAAGGUAAUUUUCAUGCCUGAUGCUCUCUGGGCCAUUCAAAAAACUCAGGAGAGACAUUCAAACUACACACUAGGAAAAUCUCUCAGACUUCCAUUACCUUCCCUCGCUGUAUUUGAAGACGCUUCAAGCCUGACAUUUAUGCAAGUGGUUGCAGAUGGCCCCAGCUCCACACCCCUGGAGUGCCCUGCCUACAUGAGGCUGACAGACUGGGUCAGGCUAAGUAGGGACCUGGAACAGGUCAAGUGUUAGGAGCAGCUGGUGAUGGGAGAGGGCUACUGGGGACACAAGGAAUCUGCCUAAUUCCAAACCUUAACAUACAUAAAUGCACGUAUUCCUCCUGAAUGUAAAAUUGGAGGAAUCUGGACCAUAUUGCUAGGGCAGAGCUGGGAGGACUAGCUAGGGGUAUCCUUCAGUAACAGACAUUUGGGAGCCUUGAUUGUUCAACAUGUUCUGGACCUCAUCAGGCAUCCAGUCCAAAGGGGGGAUUACUGCUGCCUCAGAAAUAUUUUUGGAGGGAGGAUGUCUCUAUCCUGCGGCCAUUCACAGGGUUUUGGUGUGGCAGGAGUUCAACAGGCCUGGAGUGCCCCAGCCGCCCAAGACUGGCUGAUAAGGUGCAGACUGUGCAUGCUCGGGAGGUACAGUUCAGGGUAACCAGGGACCUGGAAUGGUACUGUCGGACAAGGCUGGGUCACAGGAGGGGGCUAUUGGAGGUAACUGGCUUCUGCCUAAUUCCAAAUCCUAAUCUGUACACAUGUGCGUACUUCCCCUGAAGUCAGCGCUGGAGGAAUAUGGACUACCUUACGAGGGCUAAAUUGGGUGGCUUGCUAAGGAACUUCAAUAAGAGAUGCCUGGGACCCCAGCAAACAAUAUAGGAAAACCUUUCCUCAGCAAUUUGGUAAUUUAUACCUUUGUAAGCUCUGCCUGCCUGAUCACCCCAGAAUUUGGAAACUCUCAUGAAUAUGAAUGACUUGGAUGGGACCAGAGAAACCACCAGAACAGCAUAUGUAUGGAAAAUCUUUUACUGGUUGUUGUGUGGCCAAAGAUCACCACAGACAUUUAACCUGCAAACCAGAAAGAUCAUUUGAUUGUGACUUGCCUUCACUCCAUCUAAGAUGCUUUGAAAUUUGGAUCUAGACAUCUUCUCAACUGGCUACCCUCAGAACUAAGAAACCGUUUUACAAUUCAGUCUCCCCAAACUGAGGCAGCACUCUGGGAUAUAGACACUAUCAUAACCAGUAUCACCACUGGAUCUAGACUUUAUGACAUGGUAAUAUGUCACCAAUAUCACCGUGACAUCCAGACCUUAUAUGACAUGUUCUUUGCUAUUGUAAUUGAGGAGGAGAGCCAACCCAUGGUUGCAUUUAUGUGGCAAGGCAGGCGGUAUCAGUAUGCUAGGCUACCACAAGGAUACCUUAGCAGUCCAGUAAUAGCCCAUAACGUUCCAACACAAGACAUCCAGGCCUUUGAUGAAAACACACACAAAAACCCAGUAUUUCCUAUAUAUUGAUGACAUCCUUAUUUAUGGCGGUAACUAGGAAAAACACAUUAGGGUCAAAAUAGAAUUAAUUUAAUUACUUACACUCAGAAAAUGGAAAACUGACCCAAGUGAGGUCCACACACUACAGUAAAAGUGCUAGGCAAAAUGUAGUCCUCUGGAGGCAUAAAAAAACCCACACCCAGUCAUAAACAAUAUCAAUUGUGUAUUGACUCCUACCACAAAAGAAGAAGCUCAGAAACUGAGAGGACUGUUUGGAUAUUUGGUAUAGCACAUACCACUUCUGGUGAUAAUAUUAAAACACAUUCAUGAAAUAAAUAGGAUGAGUAGAAACUUUAGAUGGCUAGAGACUCAAGACAGCCUUUAUUUGAAAAAUGUGUCAGAAUGUUUAACACAUUGGCAUCAUCUAAUGAGGACUUUAAAUACAAAUUAGAGUGCCUGUACUCAGGAGAGUUUGCAGCAGCAUCACUGUGGACCGAAACACCACAGAACUCCAAGUUUUACCCAACUGGGCUUUACACUAAGGAGUUCCCAUUGUCUGAGAACAUACACCAACCAAUUGAAAGGCUCACCUAAACAUUCUACAAGGCCCUAGAAAAUACACACUAAGAAAAUAAACCAAUUACACUUAAACUCCCAAAAACCCUUCUGUAGUAGAUAAAGCAGACCUCUACAAAGAGAUGGGAAGUACUCUUGACUAUAAAGCUAUAAAAUAACAAUGGUACAUAUCUGAGUAGGGCCACAGAUUAAAAGUUGACCUGCAUUAACUAAAAAAUAUCUCAGCAAUGCCAGUAGUGGACUUGCUGGAUUUUGAGGAGUAAGUUCAAGUGGUUAGGUAAUAGGGACCACAGCAGUCAAUGGUGCAUGCUUUUAUUUACUUUAUAUAUAUGUAUAUGUAUAUAUAUAUAUAUAUAGUAAAUUUAUAUACAUAUAUUUAUAUGUGUGUGUGUGUGUGUGGAGAGAGAGAGAGGGGGGGUGGAAUAUGAAUGUGCAUGAGUGGAGGAGAGGGGAAGAAGGAGAGACAGAGAAUCUCAAGCAGGCUCCAUGCUCCACAUGGAGUCCAAUGCAGAACUCAAUCCCAUGGCCCUGGGAUCAUGGCCUUAGCUGAAAAUCAAGAGUUGGACACUCAACCAGCUGAGCCAGCCAAGUGUCCCAACAGUGCAUGAUUUUAGAUGGAUCAGCUUUCUUGCCAUCAUCCAGAAUAUCCUGGCAGUCAAUCUGUAGAGGAAUGACUAAUAAUGGACAAACCAGGAUAGAAUCAGGCUUGGGAGAAUCAGCACAACAUCAAUUUAUGGCUAAACUAAUAGCUAUAAAAUUGGCAAUUGAACAGUCUGUUAAGGGAAGUCAGAACGAGGUAUGUAAUUUUUGGAUCCAAGGAUGGUAGGUAAAUCAAUAGCUAGCUCUCUGGUCAGGUCAUGGCAGGACCUGGGAAAUAGGAUGUAAGAGCAUAUGGGGUAAUGGCAUAUGGCAGAAAAUAGCACUGGAUGACAUCUCUAUAUUGGUUACACACAUCUCUGCACAUCAGAAGGACAACUAUGAAGUUACCAAAUUUAAUAACCAAGUAAACAAACUCACUAGGAAAACUAAAGAGGUAAAGAUUCCUAAAUUUAUGAAAAAAAACAAUGAUUCAUGUAUAAGGAUGAAAUCAAUUCAAAACAUAAUCAUACAUAAAGACAAUGGAACAUAAAAUGUGGACACACAGAUAUGCCAAUGGAUAGGAUCAUUGUAUGGGCACAUCACCAAACAGGUCAUAGUGGCAAACAUGGCACUAGAACAUCGUUGGAGAAAAGAAACAUGUAUAUAUCCACAAAAUACCUUUAAUUUAAAAUUAUGGGAUGUAAUUGCCACAAUUUUGAAGCUUAGAGGAUUCAUUCAUUGAUUCUUCAUUAAUGAAUCAUCCAGAUACAUUCAAAGACAACAAACCCUUCCAAAUUGUACAAAGUGAUUACAUGGAAUGCUAGCCUAUAUUGGAGAAUAAAUUAUGUGUAUCAACAAUUUUAUACACAUCAAUUACUCUAUCCUUGUGGAAGAAAUAAUAAAAAAUCCACCAUCUGAGCCUUAGAAAUCUGGAUUCCCUGCUCUGGUAAUUCAACCAUCAUAAAAUCAGAUUAGGGCACCUACUUCACAUAAAAGCUAAUCAAGAAUGGGCUAAGGAACAAGGCAUAAUAUGAAACUUCCUCUUAUUCUACAACCCAACUGUCUCUGGAUCAAUUGAAAGGUAUCAUGGCUUAAGCAAAAGCUUAGGUUGCUUACUAACAAUCUAGAUAUGAAAUCUUGGACUAAAAUGAUCUGGAAGGUGGCAAUCACUACACCAUAGAUAUAGAAAGGAUGAAAAAAUUCCUAUUAGUAUCGCAGGCAGCUACAGAGAUAGGAAUUAGCAUUAAUACCACCCCAGAAUCUAAAAUAGGAAAAGUAUUAACUAAAAAACAUAAGAAUAUGGGGAAAAUCAUAGCACCUGCCAUAAUAAAACCCUACUUGGUGACCAAAGGAAAAGGUAUAUUACAACAAAUUAAAGACCAUACUAUGAUGCAUCUGUAAAAAUUUCAGGCAUAUAGAACAUCUUUUAUCAACAUUGAAUGCCUAAUAUUAGCUAGUAUAAUGUAGGAUGAUAAUACUUGGGACAAUGUCAAUAAUUGUCAUAACAACUAGUGUUUCCCUUGAGUGGCAAGAACAAGAAAGAAUUACAAAUUUAUGGGACACUGUAUUUUGCAGGCAUGACUCUGCUUUGCAUCUUCACCUCUAUUAUUAAGUAGGUCAGUGCAGCAUGCUGCUUAUUGGCCAUACUCUUCUAUUGCUUACUUUGGAAAGCAUACUCAGUAAAGCUACAGAUAUUCCUCUGUAAAAUCAGUUGUGCCAGUGUUCCAAAAUGGACUACCUUCUGCUCCAAAUUUAAUUUGAGUCUGUGACAUCCUCUUCUUCCUCCAUGGGUUGCCAUUUUGGUCACCUUAUAGCAACUGAUGACUUAACUGCAUUACAGGCAUCACCAAGCUCAACCUCUCCACUUCUCCCUUCACUGUCAGCACCAUCUACUCAGAAAACUUUAGUCAAUGGAGAAACCAAAUGGUUAGAGAAGCUGUUGAAGCAGUUGAAACUUGCCCUUCAAUCUCCACAUGAAUUCCCAAGGAUCUGAAUGACACUAGGACGGAGUGUUGUGUAUUAGUUUCAAAAGCACUAGUAUAUGAGAAAGACAAAGUUGUUUUUAGAAGUUGUCUUGAUAUCACAAUAAAGUAAGCCCUAUCAGGAUGUAUUCAUCUCAUCUGUUUUUACUCACAAGAAUUAGCACUUCUGAGGGUCCCUGCUGGGAGCUUAUCCAUAAAAAACAUAUGAAGAAGUACCAUGGCAAGGGGAAAUUUAGACUAAAUACUGUUUGUGGGGAGUAUCCAAGAGUGUUUCAUCUGAGCUGUAGUUUCUAAUGUAAAUAACCAGUCCCAACACUCUGCAUCUACCUUGAUAGCACCCUGUAUCCCACCCCAGCAUUCUCCUAUAGACCAACUCCACCCAAGCCCCUCACUUUGGCAGGCAUCCCUCCAAAGCAGCUCCUGCCAAGCCACACUUGGAAGGUAUAUCUGGCUGGGACCAGUGCUAGUCUAAAGUAAUUUCUUCCCUGAGGCAGAAACUAGCAUACUUUAGUUCCAACAGCUGGGCCUCUUUGUUGGCUGUGAAGGGAUGAAACGCUGCCCAUUAGUACACCUGUAGCUAUUGUAGAGGCUAAUUACAGACAGCUAGGCUGAGUGCCAGGGCCACCAGACAGAUCCUGCAGUGGAUUCAGUCAGGCUUCUUAUCAGCACAGGGAACAAACCUUGCCUAUUGUGCUCCCAGCAUGUGAUUUUGGUCAUUGCAACCAUCUGGCCUGAAGACCAACCCCAUCCACUAGCAGACCCACAGGAAUCACACAGCACAGCCACAACAAGAUGAUGCAUGCCAUUCACACAGGAGACACUCCUAGGAUGCCUGAUUCUUAUGACCAAGGGGGAUUGCACUACUGGGCACCACAAGAGUUCUACACAAGGUCACUCUAAGACCAAGAGAUGUACCUAAUCUACCUAAUAUAUAGAAACAGAGUUAGAAAAAAUUAGAGAACAGGUUAUUUUCCAAAUGAAUGAAUAAGACAGAAAUCACAGAAAAAGAUUGAAAGGAAAUGGAGAUAAGUAAUAUGUCUGAUAAAGAGAUCAGAGUCAUGGUCAUAAAGAUACUGGACUUGAGAAAAGAGUGGAUGAACUCUGAGAACUUCAACUAAGAGAUAAAAAAUAUUUUAAAAAGGAUCAUUUAGAGCUCAAGAAUAAAUGAAAUAAAAUUUCACUAGAGGGAAUCUACCACAAAUUAGAAGACUCAGAAGAGGAAGAAGGGCCAACAUUGUGGAGAAGUAGGGGGAUCCAAGGUUCCAUUCUCUCAAACAAAGCAGUGUUGAAGCCAAAGGACUUUGAACCCCAAGAGUCCAGGAGGCAAAGAGUUGCUUCCAGGGACCCACCAGGACAAUCUGACAGGCCAUAGGUGCAUGAUUGCAAACUGGGAGAGAGAAAACAAACAGAGGGGAGGGAUCCCCUUCUGUGGAGAGACAAAGGGAAGAGAAAGAGAGGCUGGGGAAGCAUAGGACUGUAUUUGGACGAGAGAAAAACCUCGGACAGGGACAGAGAAAGAUCCAGCCUCUAACUGAGAGAAUUUCUCCUGACUGGGCGACUUUCUCCUGACUUUCUCCUGCCAGCAUCACGCACCUGGGGAGGAGGGGGACCAGCCCUGGGCUCAGCGGCUAGGUCAGGGGUGCAGUCUGCAGUAGGAGAAAGCAAUCCCCUCCCUGGAGUGCUGUGGGAAGAAGGUAUAACCGUUCAAAGGACAAAGCCUGCCUGCAUCCGCCAGCCAGAGACCACAUAUCUAGCAGCACAGACUGGUGCUUCCCCAGUACUGGGGGCCCAUGGAGCAAGAGUUUGAAUCCCAGCCAAGCACUAGGGCAUAGGAGUUUUAGCAAAACAACCACCUCAUUUGUGCCCUCAGCACAGUGAGGACAGCUCAAACAGAGUGGUUUGGUACACCUGGUCUGUGGAGGAGACAUUGGGUUGUCGCCAUUUUUCUCCCCACCACCACCAAGGAGGGACCCUCAGGAUGAGACAGCAGGGCCCACAGUAGAGGCAGGAUCCACCUACAUCAAACCACAGUACUCCGCACCUGGUAACUUCCUAUCUACUGGAGCAGGAUUGACCCUGAGGAACCAGAUGGCCCCUCCUCCAGACCUGCAAUCCUGCAUUGCCUGGUUUAGUUCUUGGACAGUUCUUAUUAUAUAGACGUGUUCUUCCUUUUCUCCUUCUCAUCUCUUUCCUCCUUUAGUCUGGUUACUCUGGUUGUUGGUUUGUUUAAGCAUACAUAUUUAAUCCAUUCUCGAUACAUGUUCUACAACUCCUUCUUUAUUUUCCUUUCUCUCUCUCUGGAUUAAGCCAUAUGGUUUCUCUGGUCAAUUUUUAUUUUUUCUUUUUCCCCGCCCCUGUCAUUUCUCUCUUUGUAUAGGAUAAGGCCUCUUCCACCAGCACUGCCUCCACCCUGUUGUUUACUUGUGGCUGGUGUUUCUGGUGUGUGUGUGUGUGUGUGUGUGUGUGUGUGUGUGUGUGUUUGUUUUCUGUUUGGUUUUUUGUUUUCCUUUCCAGGGCUACUUCAGUGAACAAAUCAAAGCACAUCUGGUGGAGGGUCCAAAACAUCACUAUGAGUGGGGAGAUAAAGUAGCCAAAGUCACAACAACAGAGAGCAAGUAACACUCUCCAAAAAAUACCUCCUGAAGGGCCAGGCCCUGGACAGUGUAUGACCCCUCUUUAAUAUAGUAGUGCUUACAGGUGCAGGGCACAUAACAAGCUUUUAAAACAUAUGAGGGACAGAAAACUAGCCAAGAUGAUGAAAAGGAAGAAUUCUCCUCAAAAAAGAUUCCAGGAAAAAAUUACAGCUAAAGAAUUGCUCAAAACAGAUAUAAAAAAAAUAACUUAACAAGAAUUUAGAAUAAUAGUCAUAAGAUUAAUUGCUGGGCUUGAAAAAAAAAGCAUAGAAGACAGCAGAGAAUCUAUUGCUGCAAAGAUCAAGGAACUAAAAAAAUAUUAACGAUGAAUUUAAAAAUGCUGUAAAUGAGGUGUAAAAUAAACCAAGUGGUCACAGCAAGGAUUGAAGAGGCAGUAGGGACAAUAGGUGAAAUAGAAGAUAAAAUUAUAGAAAAAGAUGAAGUUGAGAGAAAAAGAAAAAAAUUCUGGAUCAUGAGGGGAGAAUUAGAGAACUAAGUGAAUGAAAUGGAACAAUAUCUGUAUCAUAGGAGUUCCAGAAGAAGAAGAGAGAGAAAGGGACUGAAGGUGUAUGUAAACAAAUGAUACUUGAACAAAUGUACUUGAACUUUCCCAGUCUGGGAAAGGAAACAGACAUUGAAAUCCAGGAGGCACAGAGAACUCCCUUCAAACAUAACUUAAAUCAAUCUUCUGCACUACAUAUUAUAGUGAAAUUGGCAAGAGAAAAUUCUGAAUGCAGCUAGGGAUGAAUGGGCCUUAACCUACAAAGGUAGGCACAUAAGGGUAGUAGCAGACCUAUCUACUGAAACUUGGCAGGCCAGAAAGGAGUGGCAGGAAAUUUUCAAUGUGAUGAGCAGGAAAAAUAUGCAGCCAAGAAUCCUUUAUCCAGCAAGCCUGUCAUUCAGAAUAGGAG